CUGAAGCAAUCGGAAGUGGUUCCAAGAAAAGCCUCUAAGCUUCAGUCAUACGAGACCGUACCGCAAACCGACACAGGUGGGCGAGAUGAGUAUUCUAAGGCGCUUGAGAGAACUCGGGAGAAGGAACUCGGCAAAUUGGUACCGUAACUUCGGGAAAAGGUACGCCCCGGUAGCUUGGUCACUUUACUGUGAUAGGGCGAAAGGGUUGCAAUAAACUGGUGGCUGCGACUGUUUAAUAAAAACACAGCACUCUGCAAACACGAAAGUGGACGUAUAGGGUGUGACGCCUGCCCGGUGCUGGAAGAUUAAAUGAUGGGGUGCAAGCUCUUGAUUGAAGUCCCAGUAAACGGCGGCCGUAACUAUAACGGUCCUAAGGUAGCGAAAUUCCUUGUCGGGUAAGUUCCGACCUGCACGAAUGGCGUAACGAUGGCCACACUGUCUCCUCCCGAGACUCAGCGAAGUUGAAAUGUUUGUGAUGAUGCAAUCUACCCGCGGCUAGACGGAAAGACCCCAUGAACCUUUACUGUAGCUUUGCAUUGGACUUUGAACCAAUCUGUGUAGGAUAGGUGGGAGGCUUUGAAGCGGGGACGCUAGUUCUCGUGGAGCCAACCUUGAAAUACCACCCUGGUUUGUUUGAGGUUCUAACCUUGGUCCGUUAUCCGGAUCGGGGACAGUGCAUGGUAGGCAGUUUGACUGGGGCGGUCUCCUCCUAAAGUGUAACGGAGGAGUUCGAAGGUACGCUAGAUACGGUCGGACAUCGUGUUGAUAGUGCAAUGGCAUAAGCGUGCUUAACUGCGAGACUGACAAGUCGAGCAGGUACGAAAGUAGGACAUAGUGAUCCGGUGGUUCUGUAUGGAAGGGCCAUCGCUCAACGGAUAAAAGGUACUCUGGGGAUAACAGGCUGAUUCCUCCCAAGAGUUCAUAUCGACGGGGGAGUUUGGCACCUCGAUGUCGGCUCAUCACAUCCUGGGGCUGUAGCCGGUCCCAAGGGUAUGGCUGUUCGCCAUUUAAAGUGGUACGUGAGCUGGGUUUAAAACGUCGUGAGACAGUUUGGUCCCUAUCUGCCGUGGGCGUUGGAAAUUUGAAGGGGGCUGCUCCUAGUACGAGAGGACCGGAGUGGACGAACCUCUGGUGUACCGGUUGUCACGCCAGUGGCAUUGCCGGGUAGCUAAGUUCGGAAGAGAUAACCGCUGAAAGCAUCUAAGCGGGAAACUUGCCUUGAGAUGAGAUUUCCCAGAGCCUUGAGCUCUUUGAAGGGUCGUUCGAGACCAGGACGUUGAUAGGCUGGGUGUGGAAGUGCAGUAAUGCAUUAAGCUAACCAGUACUAAUUGCCCGUACGGCUUGUCCCU
rnacentral:rRNA from 2 species